rnacentral:rRNA from 1 species
AGCUAGUUGGUGAGGUAACGGCCCACCAAGGCGACGAUCGGUAGCCGGACUGAGAGGUUGAACGGCCACAUUGGGACUGAGACACGGCCCAGACUCCUACGGGAGGCAGCAGUGGGGAAUAUUGCACAAUGGGGGAAACCCUGAUGCAGCGACGCCGCGUGGAGGAAGAAGGUCUUCGGAUUGUAAACUCCUGUUGUUGGGAAGAUAAUGACGGUACCCAACAAGGAAGUGACGGCUAACUACGUGCCAGCAGCCGCGGUAAAACGUAGGUCACAAGCGUUGUCCGGAAUUACUGGGUGUAAAGGGAGCGCAGGCGGGAAGACAAGUUGGAAGUGAAAUCUAUGGGCUCAACCCAUAAACUGCUUUCAAAACUGUUUUUCUUGAGUAGUGCAGAGGUAGGCGGAAUUCCCGGUGUAGCGGUGGAAUGCGUAGAUAUCGGGAGGAACACCAGUGGCGAAGGCGGCCUACUGGGCACCAACUGACGCUGAGGCUCGAAAGUGUGGGUAGCAAACAGGAUUAGAUACCCUGGUAGUCCACACCGUAAACGAUGAUUACUAGGUGUUGGAGGAUUGACCCCUUCAGUGCCGCAGUUAACACAAUAAGUAAUCCACCUGGGGAGUACGACCGCAAGGUUGAAACUCAAAGGAAUUGACGGGGGCCCGCACAAGCAGUGGAGUAUGUGGUUUAAUUCGACGCAACGCGAAGAACCUUACCAAGUCUUGACAUCCCUUGACAGGCAUAGAAAUAUGUUUUCUCUUCGGAGCAAGGAGACAGGUGGUGCAUGGUUGUCGUCAGCUCGUGUCGUGAGAUGUUGGGUUAAGUCCCGCAACGAGCGCAACCCUUAUGGUCAGUUACUACGCAAGAGGACUCUGGCCAGACUGCCGUUGACAAAACGGAGGAAGGUGGGGAUGACGUCAAAUCAUCAUGCCCUUUAUGACUUGGGCUACACACGUACUACAAUGGCGUUAAACAAAGAGAAGCAAGACCGCGAGGUGGAGCUAAACUCAGAAACAACGUCCCAGUUCGGACUGCAGGCUGCAACUCGCCUGCACGAAGUCGGAAUUGCUAGUAAUCGUGGAUCAGCAUGCCACGGUGAAUACGUUCCCGGGCCUUGUACACACCGCCCGUCACACCAUGAGAGCCGGGGGGACCCGAAGUCGGUAGUCUAACCGCAAGGAGGACGCCGCCGAAGGUAAAACUGGUGAUUGGGGUGAAGUCGGAACAAGGUAGCCGUAGGAGAACCUGCGGCUG